rnacentral:rRNA from 1 species
UAGGGAAUCUUCGGCAAUGGGGGGAACCCUGACCGAGCAACGCCGCGUGAGUGAAGAAGGUUUUCGGAUCGUAAAGCUCUGUUGUUAAGGAAGAACGAGUGUGAGAAUGGAAAGUUCAUGCUGUGACGGUACUUAACCAGAAAGGGACGGCUAACUACGUGCCAGCGGCCGCGGUAAUACGUAGGUCCCGAGCGUUGUCCGGAUUUAUUGGGCGUAAAGCGAGCGCAGGCGGUUAGAAAAGUCUGAAGUGAAAGGCAGUGGCUCAACCAUUGUAGGCUUUGGAAACUGUUUAACUUGAGUGCAGAAGGGGAGAGUGGAAUUCCAUGUGUAGCGGUGAAAUGCGUAGAUAUAUGGAGGAACACCGGUGGCGAAAGCGGCUCUCUGGUCUGUAACUGACGCUGAGGCUCGAAAGCGUGGGGAGCGAACAGG